UUUUUUUUUUUUGUACACUAGCUGACAAGAGGAAGUCCAGCUCAAAGCAGAUUUCUAAACAAACCAAGAAAAGAUGAGAAGAGUGUCCACACGGAGCAAUGAUGGCACUAACCUGGUACAAGAAAACAGAAAAAAACUAGAUGAAAAAUACAUCUACAUAGGGCAACCUGUGCGUGGUGUUCAAGUGGGAAAAGGUAUCUGUGCAGGAGAGAAAAGAUGAAGCAAUAAGGGAUUGGUUACAAACUUGCAGAUGGAUUAAAAAAUAAGUAACAAUAUUAAGAAUAAUGGGAACCUGGAAUUUUCUUACCAUUAAAGAAUUACAAACUUAAAAGGGAGAAAAGUAAAAUGAAACCUAUGAUGUUGGACUGAAAUUGGAGGGACAGCCAGGCAUGGUGGCACACAUUUAUAAUCUCAGCAACUAAGGAGGCUGAGGCAGGAGGAGGGCAAGUUUGAGGCCAGUGUUGGCAACUUAGCGAGAACCUAUCUCAAAGUAAAAGUGAAAAUGGGCUGGGGGUGUAACUCAGUGGUACAGCACCUCUGGGUUCAAUCUGCAGUACCAUUAAAAACAACAACAACAUAUAAUUCAGAAUGUAAGAGCCUGGAGUUUAGUUCAAGCUCUAUCCAAUAAAUCUCUGAUCCCAAGGAUAAAGUGUUUAAUUAUUCAGGUUUUUUUGUUUCUUUGUUUGUUUGUUUUGGUGGUGGGGCAUUGUACUGGGGAUUGAACUCAGGGUCUUGUGCAUGUGAGGCACUCACUCUAACAAUUGAGAUCUAGCAGCAUCCCCACUAUUCAGGUUCUUAUUACUUUAUUUUUGUUGAUCGUAAGAUUUUUUGGUGGGGAAGUAUAGCAGGGAUUAAACCCAGAGGUGCUUUAACACUGAGCUACAUUCCCAGCCCCAUUUAUUUAUUUAGUGGUACUAGGGAUUGAACCCAGGGACUUGUGCAUGUGAGGCAAGCGCUCUACCAACUGAGCUAUAAAAAUAAUGAGCCCAGCCCCAUUAUUUUUUAUUUUGAGACAGGAUCUUUCUCGGUUGUUUAGGGCCUCACUAAAUUGCUAAGGCUAGCUUCAAACUUGCGAUCCUCCUGUCCAGCCUGUGGAAUCCUUGGGAUUACAGGCAUGUGCCACCACACUCAGCUGAACAUAAGAUUUUUAUAUGAGGCAUAUGCAAGACAAACAUAGAUUGAACAUAGUUCCUUGUACACUGAAAGCAAAAGAAAUUAAGAAUAUGAUUUUGGAUGGGUGAAUGGAUGGAUGAAUAUAAGUGUGAGUGAAUAUGUAAACAGCCCUAGGGAUAGUGAGAUUUAAGAGCAAUGAUCAUACUUAAUGUCAAAGUCUUGGUUUCUAAAUAAUAAUCUCUACUUUUCAGUAGAGAUUAAUGCUAGGCACUGCAAUAGACAAUUCACAGCAAACAAUUCUAGAUUAAUUCUAAGCACUACACACAC
rnacentral:lncRNA from 1 species